rnacentral:rRNA from 1 species
UUCCGGUUGAUCCUGCCAGAGGCCACUGCUAUCGGGGUUCGAUUAAGCCAUGCGAGUCGAGAGGUGCAAGACCUCGGCGCACUGCUCAGUAACACGUGGAUAACCUACCCUCAGGAGGGGGAUAACCCCGGGAAACUGGGGAUAAUACCCCAUAGAUCAGGGACGCUGGAAUGCCCCCUGAUUCAAAGGUCCGCCGCCUGAGGAUGGGUCUGCGGCCGAUUAGGUUGUUGUUGGGGUAACGGCCCAACAAGCCAUUGAUCGGUACGGGUUGUGAGAGCAAGAGCCCGGAGAUGGAUUCUGAGGCACGAAUCCAGGCCCUACGGGGCGCAGCAGGCGCGAAAACUUUACAAUGCGAGAAAUCGUGAUAAGGGAACCCCGAGUGCCCGUAAAUUCGGGCUGUCCGCCAGUGUAAAUAACUGGUGAAGAAAGGGCCGGGCAAGACCGGUGCCAGCCGCCGCGGUAACACCGGCGGCUCGAGUGGUAACCGUUAUUAUUGGGUCUAAAGGGUCUGUAGCCGGCCGGAUAAGUCUCUUGGGAAAUCUGGCAGCUUAACUGUCAGGCUUUCAGGAGAUACUGUCUGGCUCGAGGCCGGGAGAGGUGAGAGGUACUUCAGGGGUAGGGGUGAAAUCUUGUAAUCCUUGAAGGACCACCAGUGGCGAAGGCGUCUCACCAGAACGGACCUGACGGCAAGGGACGAAAGCUAGGGGCACGAACCGGAUUAGAUACCCGGGUAGUCCUAGCCGUAAACGAUACUCGCUAGGUGUCGGCCACGGUGCGACCGUUGUCGGUGCCGUAGGGAAGCCGUGAAGCGAGCCACCUGGGAAGUACGGCCGCAAGGCUGAAACUUAAAGGAAUUGGCGGGGGAGCACCACAACGGGUGGAACUUGCGGUUUAAUUGGAUUCAACGCCGGAAAUCUUACCGGGACCGACAGCAAUAUGAAGGCCAGGCUGAAGACUUUGCCGGAUUAGCUGAGAGGUGGUGCAUGGCCGUCGUCAGUUCGUACUGUGAAGCAUCCUGUUAAGUCAGGCAACGAGCGAGACCCACGCCCACAGUUGCCAGCGUACUCUCCGGAGUGACGGGUACACUGUGGGGACCGCCGCUGCUAAAGCGGAGGAAGGAAUGGGCAACGGUAGGUCAGUAUGCCCCGAAUAUCCCGGGCUACACGCGAGCU